rnacentral:lncRNA from 1 species
CUCAAGUAAUGUCACAUGGCGAAUGAACCACCACAUGCCCAGCUCCAGCUCAAGACACAAGAAGCUCUGGCAGCUCAGAAGACGCAUUGCAACCUUUAGGACCCGAUGGAAGUCCCACCAGGGCAAGGAGCCUGUCCUCCUCACCACUGCGUCCCGAGGACCACGGAUGGGGACUGGCAACACAUUGGGUUCAGUAUCUCGUAAAUAACCCAGAUUGGUCUCUGCAGAUGGAAUGUGGAACCCUGUCCUGGCUGCUGACGGACUCACUGACUUGCACAGGACUCAAUGCAUCAGGUCUCCUUCAUCAUCCCAACUCACUUGGGAGCUACUCUUGGUCAUCUUUUGACAGCCGUGUGACUCCCCCAGGUCAGCUGCAUCCUUCCCUCUUCCAAAUCCCUGUGGUGCACAUCAUGCAGAGACUUCUAAAGAACUCACCAUUGGGCUUUGGAGUGUGGUGACUAAGAUGAUGUUUCAGACUGGAAGACGCCCAUCCUACUGAGGGAAUGACAAAGGCAGAGCAAGGACAUUUGAAAACGUGUGCUUCGAACUGUGAGAACACAAAAUGCCCUAGCUUCCACGAGUCCAGAGCCCUUGGAUCUCCCUAAAGAUGCCACAUCGGGCUUCUUGCACCAUUUCAUCAUUGUCAUGUGUGGGCCGUCUAUUCCAUGAACUACUGGACGAAAUUCACCCAUGAUAUUUCAAGCUGUCAUCCCUCUCUGGACCUGCUGUGAUAUGCUGGGACUGCAGACACACUCACUUUGCCACUGGCUCCCUGGAAGGCUCUGCCAGGCAGAGGAAGAUGGCCCCAUUCUUCCUGUUCCCUGUGAGUGCCUUCCAGCAAUGCCUCUUUACUCUGCCAGCAGCAGCUGUCCCAUCUGACUCCAUUUGGCAUUUGUCUGCUGCUCUAUCUAGCAUCCUCCUGCACCUAACCACAGUCACUGGCACCCACUGGGCAGUGCACCCCACUCAAGGUUUGGGGUCCAGACCCACAGUGCUCCUUCUUCAGGCCUAGAGUGACUUCCCUCCUUCCCUCCCCAACUGUGAUACCUUUCUUUGGCCUUUUAAAAAAUCUAAAGUACCUGGUCGAUAAUCUUUAUGUUAACUUUAUUCUGUUAAAAAAAAAAAAAGCCGAUGUGUUUUCUAUCUCCUGGUUGGACUCUGGCUGAUGCAAUAGGUUUUUCUAUUUCUCAAUACCAUCAAAAUAUUCUUAAGUUGGAUAUAGAUACUACAUUAUGAAAACCAUGAAACAAUGUGAAAAUAAUGUACUUAUAACAAGUUAUUCAAGUGAAUUAAACUAAAAUGUUAUAAUAUGCUUAGCUGUAAUUACAUAAAUGUUAAAUAUCCACAUAGGUCAAGAAUUGAAUAGAACCUGAACAGAUGAAAGCAGUAAUUGUUCAUUGGUCGAAUUAAAGGAGAUUUCACUGUUUGCUUUUGGAUUUGUAGUAGAUGUAUUAGUUCAUACUCACAUUGCUAUAAAGAAACACCUGAGACUGGGUAAUUUAUAGAACAAACAGGUUUAAUUGACUCACCGUUCCACAAGCUAUACAGGAAGCAUGAUGCUGACAUCUACUCCACUUCUGGAGAGGCCUCAGGAAACUUACAAACAUGACGAAAGGCAAAGGGGGAGCCAGCACUUCACAUGGGCAGAGUAGGAGGAAGAGAGAGAGGGGAGGUGCCACACACUUUUAAACAAUCGGAUCUCAUGAGAACUCACUGUACAGUAGCAAUGGUAGAUGGUGCUAAAUCAUUCAUGAGAACUCCAAUUGCCUCAUGGUUCUGAAGGCUGUAGGGAAAGCAUAAUGGCUUCUGCUUGGCUCCUGGGGAGGCCUCAGGACAUUGACAAUCAUAGUGGAAGGCAAAGGGGAAGCAGAUUUGUCUUACGUGGCCAGAGCAGGGGGAAGAGAGAGAGGAGGGAGGUGCCACGUCCUUUUAAAGAGCCACAUCUCAUGAGAACUCACUCACUGUACAGUAGCAAUGGUAGAUGGUGCUAAAUCAUUCAAGAGAGAUCCACCUCCCUGAUCCAAUCACCUCCCACCAGGCCCCUCCUCCAACACUGGUGAUUAAAAUUCAACAUGAGAUUUGAGCUGGAACACAGAUCCAAACUUUAUCAGUACAGUUGUCAUGUUAUUGUCUAUUUAACAACCUCAUUUAUAGCAUUGAUUAUUAUGUUUUAAUUUUGGUAAUCACUUUUAGCAAAUUGGGGAAGAUAUUUUUCAUAUAUAACAAAAAGCGAAUAUACUUAUAUAAAGAGCUCUUUCAAGUCUGUAAGAAAGAGAAAAAGCUUAAAGAUAUCUGCCAAAAUAAUACAAUGGCCAAAACCCCAUAAAAUUCAAACCUAUUAGUAACCAAAGAAAAUUAGGUGGAGACAUCAAGAUGCCAUUUUAUAACCUAUUAAGUUAUUAACAAUUAGGAAAAAAAACACUGGCAGUGAGUGUAUAAUGACUUGGCAGUUUCAUACAUGUAGGAGGAUGAACUGCCAGAAUCUUUGUUAGACAGUUUGAUAAUAUGAGUGGUAGACAAAAGCCAUUUGGGUGCAUCUUUACUUAUAAAAAAAUCAGAAAUACGAACUGUCCUUCAAAAAUGAUGAAGCAUCUAUGCAAUUUAGUGAUUGCUAACAACACUGAGGUUUUAAAAAAAAGUUUCCAAGAUAAUACAUUUUGCAAUUCCAUUAUACCAUGUUGAUACUUUUUAAGCUUCUGAAACCCAAGGAGGAAAUAUAAAUUCUCCUAGUUAGGUACAUUAAGGACCCUUUGUCUUUUAGUUACUUCGUAAGUUUUAAAACAUGGUUAACAUAAUUCACGUGUCAUGGAGCUAAGAGUCGGUAUGAAAAAUAAUGGUAAUUUCUAAAUUUUACUGGUUGAUGCAAACGUGUUUCAUAAAGAUAACAUAUUCAAAACCUAUACAAAAUCUACCCAUCUUGAUGGUAUUAAGAAAAAUAACCCAUGUCAUCACUGUCCUACUGCAGUGCAAUUAAAUAAAGAUGUUUUUGACAAUUUAUUUUCUGAGAACAUAAACCCAACUCAAUGUAUUUUUCAUUUGUAUUAUUUUCCCAUUUCACAAAACCAAGGGAAUUUAA